rnacentral:rRNA from 1 species
GAUCAACGCUGGCGGCGUGCUUAACACAUGCAAGUCGAACGAAGUUUUUCUUUCGGGAGGAACUUAGUGGCGGACGGGUGAGUAACGCGCGGGUAACCUGCCCUGUACAGGGGGACAACAGCUGGAAACGGCUGCUAAUACCGCAUAAGCCCUUAGCACUGCAUGGUGCAUAGGGAAAGGGAGCAAUCCGGUACAGGAUGGACCCGCGUCUGAUUAGCCAGUUGGCAGGGUAACGGCCUACCAAAGCGACGAUCAGUAGCCGAUCUGAGAGGAUGUACGGCCACAUUGGGACUGAGACACGGCCCAGACUCCUACGGGAGGCAGCAGUGGGGAAUAUUGCACAAUGGAGGAAACUCUGAUGCAGCGACGCCGCGUGAGUGAAGAAGUAUUUCGGUAUGUAAAGCUCUAUCAGCAGGAAAGAAAAUGACGGUACCUGACUAAGAAGCACCGGCUAAAUACGUG